GUUGUCCACCCCAGGCGGCCGUGUCUGCCACGUCACUGCAAUACUUGUCAAACUCAUCUGGGAACACACAGAGGUAGUGAUCACACACUGGAGUGACUCAUCUGGAAACACACAGAGGUAGUGAUCACACACUGGAGUGACUCAUCUGGAAACACACAGAGGUAGUGAUCACACACUGGAGUGACUCAUCUGGAAACACACAGAGGUAGUGAUCACACACUGGAGUGACUCAUCUGGAAACACACAGAGGUAGUGAUCACACACUGGAGUGACUCAUCUGGAAACACACAGAGGUAGUGAUCACACACUGGAGUGACUCAUCUGGAAACACACAGAGGUAGUGAUCACACACUGGAGUGACUAAUCUGGAAACACACAGAGGUAGUGAUCACACACUGGAGUGACUCAUCUGGAAACACACAGAGGUAGUGAUCACACACUGGAGUGACUCAUCUGGAAACACACAGAGGUAGUGAUCACACACUGGAGUGACUCAUCUGGAAACACACAGAGGUAGUGAUCACACACUGGAGUGACUCAUCUGGAAACACACAGAGGUAAUGAUCACACACUGGAGUGACUCAUCUGGAAACACACAGAGGUA